rnacentral:lncRNA from 1 species
GUGCCGGGCUGAUCUUUCGUGAUCAUCUCAAGCCUGUGGGCUUGAUCCGGAAUCUCGGAAAUAAUUGAUGGCCACGUGCCUAAUCCCCGGGCCCAAAUACGGUGGCAAUGCUAACUGGCCUCAAUCAUCGUUCGUGGCUCUUUCGAAGGACAACUGUGGAUGUACGUGUUGUUGGGACUGGUUCGUACAUUCCGUGGAGAGGAAGGCACGGGGUCCUAGUCGGUGGGCAACGUGGGAGGUCAAGGGCCGCUCAACGCGGUUGGCAAGGGAAGGACAGC